GGUUUUGUCUGGCUGGGAGAGGCUGGUGUCCUGUGGGUUGUGUCUGGCUGGGAGAUGCUGGUGACCUGUGGGUUGUGUCUGGCUGGGAGAGGCUGGUGUCCUGUAGGUUGUGUCUGGCUGGGAGAGGCUGGUGUCCUGUGGGUUGUGUCUGGAUGGGAGAGGCUGGUGUCCUGUGGGUUGUGUCUGGCUGGGAGAGGCUGGUGUCCUGUGGGUUGUGUCUGGCUGGGAUAGGCUGGUGUCCUGUGGGUUGUGUCUGGUGUCCUGUAGGUUUUGUCUGGCUAGGAGAGGCUGAUGUCCUGUAGGUUGUGUCUGGCUGGGAGAGGCUGGUGUCCUGUGGGUUGUGUCUGGCUGGGAGAGGCUGAUGUCCUGUAGGUUGUGUCUGGCUGGGAGAGGCUGGUGGGUUGUGUCUGGCUGGGAGAUGUGGGUGACCUGUAGGGUGUGUCUGGCGUCCUGUAGGUUGUGUCUGGCUGGGAGAGGCUGGUGUCCUGUGGGUUGUGUCUGGAUGGGAGAGGCUGGUGUCCUGUGGGUUGUGUCUGGCUGGGAGAGGCUGGUGUCCUGUGGGUUGUGUCUGGCUGGGAUAGGCUGGUGUCCUGUGGGUUGUGUCUGGUGUCCUGUAG
ensembl:lncRNA